GAAACUUGAAUGGAGUCUGGUUACUGUAGAAAUCUCAUCAUCGGAGAAGCUCGAAUAUUGACGAAAUCCAAAAGAAGUUCGGAGUAGGGUCGUCCGUGGCUGAUAGAAGUCUGGAAGGAAUUCGGAGAAUAGUUGAUCACUGUAGAAGGUCGGCUGAUAGUAAAGCCCAGAGAGCCUUUGGAGCGGCCCGGUAGAUGAAUGGAGAAGCUCAUUAUCGGAGAAGUCCAGAUGGUCAAGGGAGUUCAGAAAGACGUCGCAC
rnacentral:lncRNA from 1 species